rnacentral:piRNA from 1 species
UGCCUUUGAUACAAUAUCUUCCCCUUAAAUGC